GGCCCUGCGAGCGCGGCUCCGCCCCGGGAGGCGGCAGCUGCCGAGCGGCGGUGAGCGCCGGAGCAGGUCGGUGGGGAGGCGGCCGGGCGGUGGCGAGCGGAGGAUGGCGGUGGCGGGGCCCGGCCUGGAACGGAACCAGGAAAGUAAUGUUGCAAACAAGCUGGCAAGCACCCAAGCUGAGUAAGAUCAGUGUCUGGAAGAAUCUAAAGAGGUGAACUGCAAUUUUAACUGAGUCUCAGUGUCAGAAAUGUUCACAGAGCUUCCAUAAGCAAAGGAAAGGAAAAAUAAAGGACAACAAACAGAUCAGCAUGCUGAUUUGAGAGGUGCAUGAAGAAGACACCUCUGCCUUUGAUCUCCAGACACAAUAGACCUGAUUUUCAAGAGGGGACAAGUCCUGGAAGCUUCUCUGGGAGUCAGCAGGAGCUGCUGGAGCUGAAGAUCAAGAUUUUUGAUAGAAGAUGUGGGCACAGACACAAAGGGUCCAGAAACAGAAGAGCAAACCUGCUGCUGUGUCAGGAGAGAGGGACCAAGUUGUGCGUAGGACAGCAUCUCCCCACUUCACAGCACACGAAGGUGGGUUGGAAUUGCCUUGCCUUUCUCAUUGCUCACACAUUAAGCUGGAUCAAUAUGUCUCUGCACUGGGAGCACUUGCCAGCCUCAGCAGCGCUGUUCUGCUCUCUACUUUGCCCAUCUAGAAAAAGUCAGCACCUUUUAUUCCUUGGGAUUUCUGCUCAAAACUCAUCUCUGUGGCGUAACAAUCAGUUUGGGAAUAAGCCAUGAGGGGGAUAGCGUCUGGCUGAGAAAUGUACUCCUUGUUUUCUACUCCCCAGCAAGCCUACUUCUUCAUCUUUUAUUUCUUGCCCUCUGUGUGCCAGUUUCCCUUUGGGAAGAGGAGGAAGAAUUGCUGCUAUUAUACAUGGACACUGUGUAGAGUCCCCUUCAGUGAUCCCCACCUAGAUUAUUAUUAAUGUUGUAAACUAUCAUCAUCCUUCUGCAAACCCCAGGAGAAGCUCCUGGGGAACAAAACAACCUUGGAUUGAUGCUCAGCACAAAUGCAAAGCCCAAAUUAACGAGUGCUAACCCUUCCUGUGUUAUCUCUAUUAAACAAUAUUUUAAUCAACA